GAUGAACGCUAGCUACAGGCUUAACACAUGCAAGUCGAGGGGUAACGAGAGGAAAGCUUGCUUUCCUUGUCGACGACCGGCGCACGGGUGAGUAACGCGUAUCCAACCUGCCCCCAACUAGGGAAUAACCUUGCGAAAGUAAGACUAAUACCCUAUAAUUUCCUCAGAUGUCAUCUGACGAGGAAUAAAGAUUUAUCGGUUGUGGAUGGGGAUGCGUCUGAUUAGCUUGUUGGCGGGGUAACGGCCCGCCAAGGCAACGAUCAGUAGGGGUUCUGAGAGGAAGGUCCCCCACAUUGGAACUGAGACACGGUCCAAACUCCUACGGGAGGCAGCAGUGAGGAAUAUUGGUCAAUGGGCGGAAGCCUGAACCAGCCAAGUAGCGUGCAGGAUGACGGCCCUAUGGGUUGUAAACUGCUUUUAUACAGGAAUAAAGUUAGCCACGUGUGGUUAUUUGUAGGUACUGUAUGAAUAAGGACCGGCUAAUUCCGUGCCAGCCGCCACGGUAA
rnacentral:rRNA from 1 species